ensembl:lncRNA
CCACCCAGCUAACAGUCCAGCUAUAGGGAGGAGGUGUAGGGAGGAGGUGUAGGGAGGAGCUGUAGGGAGGAGGUGUACCACCCAGCUAACAGUCCAGCUAUAGGGAGGAGGUGUAGGGAGGAGGUGUAGGGAGGAGGUGUACCACCCAGCUAACAGUCCAGCUAUAGGGAGGAGGUGUAGGGAGGAGGUGUAGGGAGGGGGUGUACCACCCAGCUAACAGUCCAGCUAUAGGGAGGAGGUGUUGGGAGGAGGUGUACCACCCAGCUAACAGUCCAGCUUAUAGGGAGGAGGUGUAGGGAGGUGGUGUACCACCCAGCUAACAGUCCAGCUAUAGGGAGGAGGUGUAGGGAGGAGGUGUAGGGAGGAGGUGUACCACACAGCUAACAGUCCAGCUAUAGGGAGGAGGUGUAGGGAGGAGGUGUAGGGAGGAGGUGUACCACACAGCUAACAGUCCAGCUAUAGGGAGGAGGUGUAGGGAGGAGGUGUAGGGAGGAGGUGUACCACCCAGCUAACAGUCCAGCUAUAGG